GAUGAACGCUGGCGGCGUGCCUAAUACAUGCAAGUCGAGCGAACGGACGAGAAGCUUGCUUCUCUGAUGUUAGCGGCGGACGGGUGAGUAACACGUGGAUAACCUACCUAUAAGACUGGGAUAACUUCGGGAAACCGGAGCUAAUACCGGAUGAUAUUUUGAAUCGCAUGGUUCAAAAGUGAAAGACGGUCUUGCUGUCACUUAUAGAUGGAUCCGCGCUGCACUAGCUAGUUGGUAAGGUAACGGCUUACCAAGGCAACGAUGCAUAGCCGACCUGAGAGGGUGAUCGGCCACACUGGAACUGAGACACGGUCCAGACUCCUACGGGAGGCAGCAGUAGGGAAUCUUCCGCAAUGGGCGAAAGCCUGACGGAGCAACGCCGCGUGAGUGAUGAAGGUCUUCGGAUCGUAAAACUCUGUUAUUAGGGAAGAACAUAUGUGUAAGUAACUGUGCACAUCUUGACGGUACCUAAUCAGAAAGCCACGGCUAACUACGUG
rnacentral:rRNA from 1 species